CCUACGGGAGGCAGCAGUGGGGAAUAUUGCACAAUGGGGGAAACCCUGAUGCAGCGACGCCGCGUGAGCGAAGAAGUAUUUCGGUAUGUAAAGCUCUAUCAGCAGGGAAGAAAAUGACGGUACCUGACUAAGAAGCCCCGGCUAAAUACGUGCCAGCAGCCGCGGUAAUACGUAUGGGGCAAGCGUUAUCCGGAUUUACUGGGUGUAAAGGGAGCGCAGGCGGCUUGGCAAGUCUGAUGUGAAAGGCUGGGGCUCAACCCCAGGACUGCAUUGGAAACUGUUAGGCUGGAGUGUCGGAGAGGUAA
rnacentral:rRNA from 1 species